CUCUCUCUCUUCCGAUCGAUCCAAAGGCGCUCUCUCUCUCUCUCUCUCUCUCUCUCUCUCUCUCUCUCUCUCUUCCGAUCGAUCCAAAGGCUCAUUAAUGGGUGAUCGAUUUAUUCCUACUCGGAGCCUCAUGGAUCUCGACCGCGCGCGAUCGUCUCUUCUCGAGGGGAGAACCAAGAAACCGGCGGAGCGGUCCUCGGUCUUGACCCCGAAGGAGGUGUAUAGGAGGAUGUUGGAGGAGAAUCUGACGCUGGAUUCCGAAGGGAGGCCGUUCAGGAUGCUUCCGUUCUGGAGCCCGAGCACGAGGAAUUCCAGGCGGAGUCUGCUUGUGGACGAGAUGAUGCAAGAGGAGCGCGAUCUUGCGAGAUAUUUCGGCCCAAUCCGCCAUGUUCCAUCGUCUGCAGAUAAGAUACUGGAAGCGCCGGGCCUGAUUGAUGACUACUAUCUGAACAUAAUGGACUGGGGAAAGGAGAACAUUUUGGCUGUUGCAUCGGGCCCUUCGGUUUACCUAUGGAAAGCCGACACUGAUGAGGUGCAACUGCUCCUGUCGGCGGAUGAGGAGGAGAAUUACCCAACUAGCGUUUCAUGGUGUGAUGACGGGAAGAAGUUGGCCAUCGGAUACGCUACAUCUCAAAUUGAGCUCUGGGAUGCUCUGACCUUCCAGCAGGUUAGAACGUUCGAAGGGCACAAGAGAAGAGUAGGAAGCCUUUCAUGGAAUCGCCACAUUUUGACAUCAGGGAGCCGUGAUUGCUCCAUCAUCAACCAUGAUGUGAGAUCACACCGCAAACCUGUGUCCCGAUUUCGCGGGCACUCUAACGAGGUAUGCGGCCUGAGAUGGUCAGAAGGUGGAAGACAGCUUGCCAGCGGAGGGAACGACAACCUUGUCUGUGUGUGGGAAUCCUUAAACAUGAGAUCCUCGAAGUACCUCCAUAGGUUUACUGACCAUAACGCGGCCGUAAGAGCCCUAGCUUGGUGUCCUCAUAAGUCGAACGUUCUUGCUUCUGGCGGCGGGGCUGCCGAUCGCUGCAUUAAGAUCUGGAAUACAUGGGAAGGGAAGUGCACUGCUAGUAUAGAGACUUCUUCUCAGGUUUGUGCAUUGGAGUGGAACAGGCACCAGAAGGAGAUUUUGAGUGCCCAUGGUUACGACCAAAAUCAGCUGACUUUGUGGUCGUACCCUUCGAUGUCGAGAAUUGCCGAUUUGAAAGGGCAUACUUCCAGAGUUCUGCACCUCACACAGAGUCCGGAUGGUACGACGGUUGUGUCGGCUGCAGCGGACGAAAGCAUCUGUUUCUGGAAGGUGUUCGAGCCGCCUUGCAACUCUUCGAGAGCGGCAAACGAUGGCAGCGAUAGCAUCCUGUCGUUGAAUAGGAUGCACAUAAGGUGAUAGUUUUUCGUUGGAGGCAACUGGAAAUGCAAUGGAACAAAGGACUCUAUCAGCAAACUCAUCUCUGAUUUGAAUGGAGCUACAUUGGAAAAUGAUGUUGGUGCGUACGCACAUGGACACAGUGUCACACGUAUAGCAGCAAAAUACCAUACAAACGGAGAAUGACCCCCAAUUGUUCAACUUUUAUAAGCACAUUCCAGAUGCUGUCGUAGCACCUCCAUUCGUAUAUAUUGACCAGGUCAAGUCUUCACUGACUGAUCGUGUUGAGAUAUCUGCUCAAAAUGCUUGGGUUG